rnacentral:rRNA from 1 species
GACGAACGCUGGCGGCGUGCUUAACACAUGCAAGUCGAACGGAAAGGCCCUGCUUGCAGGGUACUCGAGUGGCGAACGGGUGAGUAACACGUGGGUGAUCUGCCCUGCACUUCGGGAUAAGCCUGGGAAACUGGGUCUAAUACCGGAUAGGAGCCAUUUUUAGUGUGAUGGUUGGAAAGUUUUUUCGGUGUAGGAUGAGCUCGCGGCCUAUCAGCUUGUUGGUGGGGUAAUGGCCUACCAAGGCGGCGACGGGUAGCCGGCCUGAGAGGGUGGACGGCCACAUUGGGACUGAGAUACGGCCCAGACUCCUACGGGAGGCAGCAGUGGGGAAUAUUGCUCAAUGGGCGCAAGCCUGAUGCAGCGACGCCGCGUGGGGGAUGACGGCCUUCGGGUCGUAAACUCCUUUCGCUAGGGACGAAGCUUUUUGUGACGGUACCUAGAGAAGAAGCACCGGCUAACUACGUG